rnacentral:rRNA from 1 species
UACGUAGGGGGCAAGCGUUGUCCGGAAUCAUUGGGCGUAAAGAGCGUGUAGGCGGCCCGAUAAGUCCGCUGUGAAAGUCCAGGGCUCAACCCUGGGAUGCCGGUGGAUACUGUCGGGCUCGAGUCCGGAAGAGGAGUGUGGAAUUCCUGGUGUAGCGGUGAAAUGCGCAGAUAUCGGGAGGAACACCAGUGGCGAAGGCGGCACUCUGGGCCAGUAUUGACGCUGAGGAGCGAAAGCGUGGGGAGCGAACAGG